UCGUCAGACCAGUGUAUGUUUUUCAGAUCUCUUGGCAGAGCCAUCCUGAUUGGUGCAUUCCUGGACAAGGUGAGUCCACAGGUUUUGUAUAAAAGCAGGGGCCCCAAGAGCAGUAACCCCACCAACGAUUCCCAUCGCUGCCGAAGAACACAACCAGUGAUCAACCUUCAAGACAUGGCUCAAGGUAGGAGAUACACAACCUCCCACUUUUAAGGUUUGGGUUAGCCAUCGGACUUUGGACUAACAUAAGGGUCUUUUCAUUACUCAUCCAUAUCUAGACUUGGUUUUAUACGUCUACUACUUGCUCCUUAUGCUUUUCCUUGUGCUGUUGAAGUGAACUUUAAACUGACGGUGACUGCUGAUGGCAAUACUGUUGAAUACAAACCUUCUACGGACUGCAACCAGCAACUUGUGUGGGCGUUGAAUGAUUUGAAAGAUUCCGUCUCAAACUUCAGUUUCGAAACUGGAGGCAGAUUUGGAUUGCCACCCUAUUUGACCCGGGUGACUUUUGGUAAUAAUAUUAAGACCAAAACUGAGAACAGCUUCUGGCAAAUUCUGGUAAAAAACCACAACAUGAUCACACCUGUUGGACUCUACAACUACGUUGUCCAGGACAGUGACGUGAUCAUCCUGCGCUACAUGGCCGUGUGAUCCUGACUGUGGCGCCAUCUUCCUGCAGGGUCCUGAAUUACACUGAGUGCUGCUCGACACUCAAAACAUGAUGAUUAUUUAGUCUGAAUUAUAUUAAAUGUAACAAAUAUGUUGAAUUGAACAUAGAUAGUAAUUAAUUGGAAGUGAAAAAUAUAAUGGAAUAAAGGACUGCAAUUAUCUCA